CAAGUCGAGCGGACCGACGGGAGCUUGCUCCCUUAAGGUCAGCGGCGGACGGGUGAGUAACACGUGGGUAACCUGCCUGUAAGACUGGGAUAACUCCGGGAAACCGGGGCUAAUACCGGAUGCUUGAUUGAACCGCAUGGUUCAAUCAUAAAAGGUGGCUUUUAGCUACCACUUACAGAUGGACCCGCGGCGCAUUAGCUAGUUGGUGAGGUAACGGCUCACCAAGGCGACGAUGCGUAGCCGACCUGAGAGGGUGAUCGGCCACACUGGGACUGAGACACGGCCCAGACUCCUACGGGAGGCAGCAGUAGGGAAUCUUCCGCAAUGGACGAAAGUCUGACGGAGCAACGCCGCGUGAGUGAUGAAGGUUUUCGGAUCGUAAAACUCUGUUGUUAGGGAAGAACAAGUACCGUUCGAAUAGGGCGGUACCUUGACGGUACCUAACCAGAAAGCCACGGCUAACUACGUGCCAGCAGCCGCGGUAAUACGUAGGUGGCAAGCGUUGUCCGGAAUUAUUGGGCGUAAAGCGCGCGCAGGCGGUUUCUUAAGUCUGAUGUGAAAGCCCCCGGCUCAACCGGGGAGGGUCAUUGGAAACUGGGGAACUUGAGUGCAGAAGAGGAGAGUGGAAUUCCACGUGUAGCGGUGAAAUGCGUAGAGAUGUGGAGGAACACCAGUGCGAAGGCGACUCUCUGGUCUGUAACUGACGCUGAGGCGCGAAAGCGUGGGGAGCGAACAGGAUUAGAUACCCUGGUAGUCC
rnacentral:rRNA from 1 species